rnacentral:rRNA from 1 species
AUUGAACGCUGGCGGCAUGCCUUACACAUGCAAGUCGAACGGCAGCGCGGGGCAACCUGGCGGCGAGUGGCGAACGGGUGAGUAAUAUAUCGGAACAUACCCUAGAGUGGGGGAUAACGUAGCGAAAGUUACGCUAAUACCGCAUACGCACUAAGGUGGAAAGUGGGGGAUCCUCGGACCUCAUGCUCAUGGAGUGGCCGAUAUCUGAUUAGCUAGUUGGUGAGGUAAAGGCUCACCAAGGCGACGAUCAGUAGCUGGUUUGAGAGAACGACCAGCCACACUGGAACUGAGACACGGUCCAGACUCCUACGGGAGGCAGCAGUGGGGAAUUUUGGACAAUGGGGGCAACCCUGAUCCAGCAAUGCCGCGUGAGUGAAGAAGG